AGCGUGACAAAAUUCAACCCGGUCUGAGCGGAUCACGUGCCUGAAUUUGACGUGUAAAGUGGGCACACACGUUUCAACAACAAAAGAAGAAAACGGUUCAUUAAAAAUGCGAUCGGUGUAUUAUUUACACCUACGGUAGAGUAUCGUCGUCCUUGGAGCAUCGGCCCGCUGAAUAUAAACUAAUAUUGGUUUGUGGUUUGUUUCUAAAGUUUUAGAAUCCUUCGAAUCACCCCCCACCUCCUUUAACACAAAAUGUACAUGUGCGGCAGAAAGAGAAAGCAAGACAAAUGUGGAAAAGAUAUAAGAAAGCUGAAGAAACCGAAGAAAAUCGGAAAACGGAUACAAUUUUUAUUCGUUUCUUAAUAAUAAAAAAAAAUGGAAAAUUCUAUUGAAAAAAUAUUGGAUCAUAAAAGGGCCCAGGGCCGCACCAUAUGCCUGUAAAAAUUGCCCCCUUUUGUCGAAACCUCUUAAUAAAUGUCUAGGUCAACGGACGUUUCAAAAAAGCUGGUAAGUGGCCCACAUCGUCCCUAUUUUUAAAUUUGGUGAUUCUACAGACGCCGCUAAUUAUCGUCUCUAUUAUGUCACUUUGCCGAGGUUUUUAAUGCUGCAAUUUAUUCAUGGUUGUUUUCUCUAGUAAAAAAUGACAAUGACAGUUCUUACAAACGCGAUACCGUUCAUCCAUGACACCAAUUUUUCCAUGCGUAAUGGUUUGGAGACGUGGGCCGUGUGCACCGAUUUUCCCAAGGCAACAUGCAACUUUGAUGAUAAAACCGGAAAUUUCGGUGUGCAUGGCGACCUUUUCCAACUAUUGCAAAGCUAUAUUACAGAAAGAACUCUGCAAGUGUUACCUCGGGUGUCCCCCAGAGAUCUCGUCUGGGCUCUUUACUUUUUAAUAUUUUAUCUUUUCGAUAUUGGCUUUUGUUUUCGGAUUGUAUUUAUGCUUCUUUUUUUAAGUAAAAAAAGAGAUUAAAGCUCCAGAGCAAUCUUCUUAGAACUAGUGAUUAUUGUAGAAACCACAGAUUAUUCUUAAUAUCAUACAUACAUAUCAUAUCAAACCAUGAUAAGGUCUGUACUAGAGUACUCAUCCACAGUUUGAUUCCAAUUUAUAGUUCAAAAAAAACUUUUUAACCACUUCAACUUUGGAUACGAAGAAAACUUAAAAUGUUAUGAUUUGAAGUCGCUUGAAACUCGAAGAAACUGUUUUGAUGUUGCUUUUCUUUACAAAGUUGUAAAUGAGUUGUCCUUAAGUUCUCGUUGCGCCUCCGCAUCCAACAAAAAUUAUUUUUAUUUUGAGGCAUCAUAUUCACCUUCUUUACUGAUGCAAAUGUAAUUGUAACAAUUUACCAACUUAACCAGCAAUACCUACUUGCAUUCAAUUUCUGUUUUACAACUUUUUUCUCAUAAAAAGUACGAAAUGGGUUUAAAAAAUGGUGUGACAUUAAAAAAAUGAAUUUGGAAUCGGCAUAUACUGGAAAAAAGGCGCAAUAAAAAAUUUAUAAAUGAAAAACUAGAAUCGAAGACAGUAUACAACAGGGAAAAGGAAACAACUCAGUUACAUUUUGAAAAUACGUGGGAAUCAUCUUAUUUUAUUUUUAUUUACUAAACUAAACUAAAUAUAUUUGGAGCUUUUUUAAUAUUACCAUAAAUUCCAAAAAUUAAGUCUUUGGUUGUUGUUGGUUAUCUGCAUACUGAUACAUACAUAAAUAAAUAAAUAUUGUUUAGUAUCUUUCCUAAAAAAACGACAAAUAAUUAAAUUCUAAGCAAAAUACGGACCUGUUCGGCCAUAUUUCAUUCUUACAGCUUGCCCGGGUCUUUCUUUAAUUCGUAUCAGUUAGUCACUUUCUUAUAUCUAUGAACAGACUUUACUCUGGCAUGAAGCGGGAUGAAGGGUACAAAAUACUUACCC